GGGGGUGUACCGGUUUCGACGGGGUCGUUGAUACUGAGAAAGCGGGUGGAGGAUUCUCGUUGGCCUCCUUAAAAAACGGGAAACGCAAGUAAUUGCAAACGACACACAGCUCGUAGCUGCUUAAUCUAGCUACCGUCUUCUUCGGACUUCUGCCACCUUAGAAAGACGUUAACCGGCAGACCUUACCCGGGAGAGGUUAAACGGGACAACCUCAUAGGCAAAGCUUUGAGCCUCUGUUGUAUCUAUGAAGCUACCGGCGGUCAUACCUGACAGCGGGUUCUGAUCAAAGGGAAAUCCUUAAACACUGUCUGCACCCGGAGACGUCUCAGAGGAUACGGUUUCGGACAGGGGUUCAACUCCCCUCAUCUCCACCA
rnacentral:sRNA from 1 species